CCUACGGGUGGCAGCAGUGAGGAAUAUUGGUCAAUGGACGAGAGUCUGAACCAGCCAAGUAGCGUGAAUGAUGACUGCCCUAUGGUUUGUAAGCUUCUUUUAUAUGGGAAUAAAACAGGGUAUGCAUACCCUCUUGUAUGUACCAUAUGAAUACGGAUCGGCUAACUCCGUGCCAGCAGCCGCGGUAAUACGGAGGAUCCGAGCGUUAUCCGGAUUUAGUGGGUUUAAGGGGUGCGUAGGUGGAUUGUUAAGUCAGUUGUGAAAGUUUGCGGCUCAACCGUAAAAUUGCAGUUGAAACUGGCAGUCUUGAGUACAGGAGAGGUGGGCGGAAUUCGUGGUGUAGCGGUGAAAUGCGUAGAGAUCACGAAGAACUCCGAUGGCGAAGGCAGCUCACUGGACUGCAACUGACACUGAUGCUCGAAAGUGUGGGUAUCAAACAGGAUUAGAUACCCUUGUAGUC
rnacentral:rRNA from 1 species